ACGAACGCUGGCGGCGUGCUUAACACAUGCCAGUCGCACGGAAAGGCCCUGCUUUUGUGGGGUGCUCGAGUGGUGAACGGGUGAGUAACACGUGAGUAACCUGCCCUUGACUUUGGGAUAACUUCAGGAAACUGGGGCUAAUACCGGAUAGGAGCUCCUGCUGCAUGGUGGGGGUUGGAAAGUUUCGGCGGUUGGGGAUGGACUCGCGGCUUAUCAGCUUGUUGGUGGGGUAGUGGCUUACCAAGGCUUUGACGGGUAGCCGGCCUGAGAGGGUGACCGGCCACAUUGGGACUGAGAUACGGCCCAGACUCCUACGGGAGGCAGCAGUGGGGAAUAUUGCACAAUGGGCGGAAGCCUGAUGCAGCAACGCCGCGUGCGGGAUGACGGCCUUCGGGUUGUAAACCGCUUUCGCCUGUGACGAAGCGUGAGUGACGGUAAUGGGUAAAGAAGCACCGGCUAACUACGUG
rnacentral:rRNA from 1 species